GGUAUCCUGGUUUUCAGAAGCCAGGGAAUACCUAAGUUACAGCUCUGAAGGAGAAGGGAUCCUGGCCGUCAGAAGCCAAGGAAUACCUACAGCUGGAAAGGGAAAGGUAUCCUGGCAGUCAGAAGCUUAGAACAAGCUCAGUGACUGGUUGGAUUUUUUGCAUCAUGAUCAUGUGGUCUAGGACUCACUGUCCUUUGCUUCUCUCCCUUGCCAUAAUGAAGUCACUGAGAUUACAAUAUCAAAAAGAGAUGGGGACAUUAUGGAUAGGUAACUGCAGCACCAGAGGGCGUGGAUGGAACUCUGGAGAGGACAGACAUGGAAACUCACAUCCCAAGCAUCUGCAGAAAAAGCUCUUCUCAAGUGAGAUGGAGAUGGAGGACUCUCAGCUGUUCCUCCAGCACCACAUCUGCUUGCAUGCUGCCAUAAUGAUGAUGGACUAAACCUCUGAAACUAUCCAUCCCCCACCUUCCAUACUCCCCAACUUCAUGCCUCUGUGCUUUAUACACAAUCGAUGCUGAAGAAAUGAUUACAGGCUGAGUAAAUGAAGAGCAUUUUCACUCUGGAUUCCUUUAGGAUUCUCCAUUGACCUUAUCAUUGGAAGUGACUGAAGUAUACCCGCCAAAGCCUCAAACUCAUUGUGUGGCAGACACUGGACCUCUGGUAUCCAGUGUUCACAUAUACCCGUUCUGGUAUACCCAUUGUUCUUGUCAAGAUGCAUAACUGAAGUCUUUAAAUAUAAAUAAGAAAAAGAAAGAUCCCACCCAUAGAGUGAGCAAGUCUAGUUAUAUUUUGUUACCUAGCGACAUCAUGAGAAGCAUUUCCCUUUCGGUCUCAUCUCACAUAAAAACAAAGGACAUGCUUGUUAAUAUCUGACUCACAUCUAUGCCAGGACAAAAAAAAGGCAUUUUAGUACCUGCAUGAGACAAGCAGCACUUAGCACUCCCAUUACAGAACUACUAAUGAGGCCAUUUCUUCAACUACCAUUCCUUGUAAGCCAAAAACAGACAAACAAACUGAUAUGGUUAAGGGCUCAGAAAACAAACAAAACAAAACAAACAAACCAAAAACCUUAGUAGAAAUAGAAAUGAGUCUAUGCUAGGUACUUGUGACAUAUUAAGCUCUUCCAGAGCAAGUCCCUGUGUCACAUGAUGUAAUAGAAAAGACCAUCCUACCUCUUCCAUUGGGCGGAAGGUGAUCAUGAAGGGGGCUCUGGGUAAAUUGGCUUUGUUUGGGAAGAUGCUUCCUUCCCCUGACCCACUGAGUAACAAGACAUGACCAACAAUGUUUCCAAAGGAACUGUGAGGAAAUCUCACUUAUUUCUUAUCAUCUUGGGAGCAAAAAAAAAAAAAAGCCUCAAAAUUCACAGAGUAAUUACAUCUUUGGUAGUUAUGCUGGAAAGUAAAGCAGUAGAUGAAGGAGCUUUCUGAAGGUGGUAGUCAAUCUUUUCCAUCAGACUCAACAUAUUGGGAAAUCUCCAAUUCCACCUUUUCUGUCUUUCCUGACUUACCCAGAUGACCCCUUCCACACCUGCACUAUGCAGCCCUACUUUCAGGAGCACUGGGAUUCCCACUCUUUAUAUUUAGCACUGACCUAGAGCCCAAACUCAACCUUUGUAGUGACAUUGCCCUUAAUCGCUUGCCUUUUGUAACUCUGCUGUAGCAACCAUGAAAAUUAAACUUGAGAAUGUUCUGUUCAGUCCUAUGUUUGAGAUCCAACUUCACGUGCCUAGUAGGGGUGCACCACUAUGCUAAUGACACGAUUGCACAGAGAUGAUUUAGAUAGAAUCUGCAGGCACUCCUUUUCAAUUUGCCCUGUAUUAUAGUUUGGAAGGCCAUGCAUGAUCAUGUUGUGCAAUACCAGUCUGCUAGCUCUUGGUGCAGGAGAGAUCUCCCAGACACACUAGGGAAAGUCACACACAUCUGGGCCAAGGAACACCUGCCUUUUUGCUUCAAGCUACCCUGUACUCAAGAAUAAACAUUUUCUCAUACCCAUGAUCCAGACAGCCCCAUAUCCAGACUUUAUCUUUUUCUUACCCCUGUACUUGGAAAUCACUUGAAAGGGGAUAAAUCAAAGACCUUCUAUCUUUCACACAGGUGACCUUGAGAAAAUAACAUGGCCUUGGUAGAUGGAAGUCCCCAUCUUCAAGUCUUACUUUGGACUAUAAUUGAGACAGUAAGCCUACUACUUCAUUAAAAGGUUCUUUUGGUGUACUAUAAAAUAUGAGAAGUAAGCUCCAGAGCCCUGACAGAUAGUUAGAAAAACCAAAGAUAAAAUCAAUAAUACAUGUGAACCUACUGAGGGGCUUGCAAGGCAGGACACUGGGAGGUAACAAUGAUUUCACAGAAAGACAAGGGAUCUCUUUAUCAUUU